UAGGGAAUCUUCGGCAAUGGGGGCAACCCUGUCCGAGCAACGCCGCGUGAGUGAAGAAGGUUUUCGGAUCGUAAAGCUCUGUUGUAAGAGAAGAACGUGUGUGAGAGUGGAAAGUUCACACAGUGACGGUAACUUACCAGAAAGGGACGGCUAACUACGUGCCAGCAGCCGCGGUAAUACGUAGGUCCCGAGCGUUGUCCGGAUUUAUUGGGCGUAAAGCGAGCGCAGGCGGUUUAAUAAGUCUGAAGUUAAAGGCAGUGGCUUAACCAUUGUUCGCUUUGGAAACUGUUAAACUUGAGUGCAGAAGGGGAGAGUGGAAUUCCAUGUGUAGCGGUGAAAUGCGUAGAUAUAUGGAGGAACACCGGUGGCGAAAGCGGCUCUCUGGUCUGUAACUGACGCUGAGGCUCGAAAGCGUGGGGAGCAAACAGG
rnacentral:rRNA from 1 species